CGUUGUAAAUCAUGCGAUCGCUGGUUCGAUAUAGGAUCCCAUUACUUCUCUGAAUGCAAGGAAUGUCGCCGAAGAGCUGUAACUGUCGUCACUACUGAUCCCUCAAUCGAAGUCACCAGAAGUGGCAAUACAACUUUUGUCUCUAGACGUGCACUUCCUCCAACUCCAAUCACGGUCGUGUCAGCGACCCCAGUACCUGUCGUUACACAGCAACCACAACCUGUCAUGACUCAAACGACAGUGCAACACGUCUUGCCAACUCCCAUAUCUCAACCCCCUCCCCUCCAAGUUCAGCACACUGUUAUUAAACAAGUUCAAGUUCCCCCUCAGUAUCAGCCGCCACCUACCAUGACUUACCAACAAUCCAUAUAUUCAACACAACAGCCUACCUUUAAUGCUAUUCAGCAGCAGCAUCCAUAUCAGCAAGUCAUGCAGCCCCCCCCCGCUUCAUAUUCAUAUUCAAUAAAUCCCAAUAUCCAACCUAUGCAGCCCCCAGCCCCCUACCCCCCAAUCUUCAGUACCAAUCAAGUCUUCUAUGAUAACGGACCAGUUCAGAACGACCCUGGUAUGCAGUAUCCACCCAACCCUUACUUCUAUCCUUCGCAACCCCAAUAACAACAAACAGGCCCAAUGUCCAGACGUCCGAAGUGGAGCAAGCAUAUCUGUCCCAACCCAUUGUCCAUGGCAAGUGCAAAUACUUGACAAUUCAAGGCUUGGUUAGGUGUGCCGGUUAAUAUCUGCCAACAUCUUUGAUUCUUCCCAUUGAGAGAAAAAGCAGUCUUUACCCUAUUUGUGUAUUUUUUAUGUCUUCUGUUUUC